UAUUAGCCGUGGCAGCCAUUUUGGUUGAUUGGCCAGGUCACGCCACACAUUUUUUAAACAAGUUACCCCAAUGAUGAUUGUGGCCAAGUUUAGUUUAAUUUGGCCCAGUAGUUUCAGAGAAGAUUUUUGUAAAAGAUUACUAAGAUUUACGAAAAAAAUGGUUAAAAAUUGACUAUAAAGGGCAAUAACUCCUUCAGGGGUCAACUGACCAUUUUGGUCAUGCUGACUUAUUUGUAAAUCUUAC
rnacentral:lncRNA from 1 species